rnacentral:rRNA from 1 species
UAGGGGGCGAGCGUUGUCCGGAAUUAUUGGGCGUAAAGAGCUCGUAGGCGGUUCAGUCAGUCGGGUGUGAAAUCUCCGGGCUCAACUCGGAGGGGCCACCCGAUACUGCUGUGACUUGAGUCCGGUAGGGGAGUGGGGAAUUCCUGGUGUAGCGGUGAAAUGCGCAGAUAUCAGGAGGAACACCGGUGGCGAAGGCGCCACUCUGGGCCGGUACUGACGCUGAGGAGCGAAAGCGUGGGGAGCAAACAGG